UGCCCACUGAUUUUUAAAUUAAAGGGCUGCAGUAAUUUGACUGUACAAAGGUAGCAUAAUCAUUAGUCAUUUAAUUGAUGACUUGUAUGAAAGAUUGGAUGAGAUAUAAACUGUCUUUUAAUUAAAUUUAGAAUUUAAUUUUUUAAUUAAAAAGUUAAAAUAACUUAAAAAGACGAGAAGACCCUAUAGAGUUUAAUAUAUAAACUAAUUAAAAUUAUUAUUAAAAUAAAUAAAUUGAAAUUAAUUUAUAUAUUUUGUUGGGGUGAUAAAAAAAUAUAUAAAACUUUUUUUUAAAAAAUACAUAUAUAAGUGAGUAUUUGAUCCAAUAUUAUUGAUUAAAAGAAAAAAUUACCUUAGGGAUAACAGCGUAAUUUUUUUUUUUAGUUCAUAUAAAAAAAAGAGUUUGCGACCUCGAUGUUGGAUUAAGAUAAAAUUUAAAUGCAGAAGUUUAAAGUUUUUGA
rnacentral:rRNA from 1 species